AUUGAACGCUGGAUGCAGGCCUAACACAUGCAAGUCGUACGAGUGGCGGACGGGUAAGUAAUGUCUGGGAAACUGCACGGUGCAGGUGGAUAACAACCGGAAACGGCAGCUAAUCCCGCAUCCCAUGGGAUGUCUCCCGACGGGAUUAGCGAGUAGGUGGGGUAACGGCUCACCUAGGCGACGAUCCCUAGCUGGUCUGAGAGGAUGACCAGCCAAACUGGAACGGAGACACGGUCCAGCCUCCUACGGGAGGCAGAAGUGGGGAAUAUUGCACAAUGGGCGCAAGCUGGAGGCAGCCAUGCCGCGUGUAUGAAGAAGGCCUUCGGGUUGUAAAGUACUUUCAGCGAGGAGGCGUUCCUCGCAGAAGAAGCACCGGCUAACUCCGUGCCAGCCGCCGCGGUAAUUC
rnacentral:rRNA from 1 species